AGUGAACGCUGGCGGUAGGCCUAACACAUGCAAGUCGAACGGCAGCACAGUAAGAGCUUGCUCUUACGGGUGGCGAGUGGCGGACGGGUGAGGAAUACAUCGGAAUCUACUUUUUCGUGGGGGAUAACGUAGGGAAACCUACGCUAAUACCGCAUCCGACCUACGGGUGAAAGCAGGGGAUCUUCUGACCUUGCGCGAUUGAAUGAGCCGAUGUUGGGUUAGCUAGUUGGCGGGGUAAAGACCCACCAAGUGGACGAUCCGUAGCUGGUCUGAGAGGACGAUCGGCGACACGGGAGGGUAGACACGGACAAGACUACUACGGGAGGGAGCAGUGGGGAAUAGGGGACAAUGGGGGCGAGCCUGAUCCAGCCAGACCGCGUGGGUGAAGAAGGCCUUCGGUUUGUAAAGCCCUUUUGUUGGGAAAGAAAAGCAGCAGGUUAAUACGCCGCUGUUCUGACGGUACUCAAAGAAUAAGCACCGGCUAACUUCGUG
rnacentral:rRNA from 1 species